rnacentral:ncRNA from 1 species
AACAGAAAAGAAACGACCUCAUAUAAUUUCGCUUGUAUGGUGCGAAAGUUUCUACCGGGCCGCCGAAAGGGCCCUGCUAUGAGUG